GCUGGAUGGUGGAUCUUGAGGGUUAUAGUCUGGCUGCGCUUGCUGCCUGAGUUUUCUGAUUCUUGGUCUGUAGAGAUGUGAGGAAUCACAGGCCAUGUUCUGCCAGCAUGUUUUCCUCAGUGGUUGGUCCUCUGAAUCAUAAAGCGCGGUCCAAACAGCAGCGUGAAGAAGUGUGGGCAGCCUGGGGAGAUGUACAGUUGUCUUCAGAUUUGACGCUCAGCAUGGCAAGUGCCCCUUCCUCAAUGUGGAAAACCCUGGAAACAAGGUAACAUGGAUGUCCAGGGAACAUG
rnacentral:lncRNA from 1 species